rnacentral:tRNA from 1 species
UGCAUCGGCCGGGAAUCGAACCCGGACCGCUUGCGUUGCAGGUGAGCAUUCUACCACUGAACCACCGAUGC